CAGAAAAUAGUUUAUUUAAAAUAUUAGUUUUGGAGACUAAUGAAAGGAGAAGCCUCUUUUUUCUGA
rnacentral:tRNA from 1 species